rnacentral:rRNA from 1 species
UACAGAGGGUGCGAGCGUUAAUCGGAAUUACUGGGCGUAAAGGGUGGGUAGGUGGUUAUAUAAGUUAGGUGUGAAAGUCCCGGGCUUAACCUGGGGAUUGCGCCUGAUACUGUGUAGCUAGAGUGCUGUAGAGGGAAGUGGAAUUUCCGGUGUAGCGGUGAAAUGCGUAGAUAUCGGAAGGAACAUCGGUGGCGAAGGCGACUUUCUGGACAGACACUGACACUGAGGCACGAAAGCAUGGGGAGCAAACAGG